UUACCACGUGAGGUGACCAAGGACUGAAAAUGUCGAUGGAGAGUCAAGUUAAGGAAGUAGUGCUAGCUCGAUACCUCUACUUAUGAUGCUAAGGAAAUAUAUAAGCAUUCAGGGAGAGAAAAAAAUCUACAAUUAAUAACAUCCAAACGGUUGUUGAUAUGAUUUGAAGAGAAAAAGCCAAAAACUGUCUGGAAGCCGAUGCUAUGCAUUAUAACAGAAUAAGGGCUCAAAUAGAGUCCGAUGACAAAAAAGUCGAGUAGAUUUAUUUAAAAAAGAGGAAUCAUUUAACAUAAUCAGGGGGUACAAAAAAGCAGAAGUGAUCACUGGGAAGUCAUAAGUGAAAAAGAGAAUCUAGGAGAAACUUACAAGAAACAAAAAAAAGUUCUUCAAGAGGUGCAAAAAACAGAAGAUUCGGCAGCAGAUGGAUGAAAGCGUAUCUGCAGUAAAAUGUCAAGAAGUUAAAAAUUGCAUCAAAAGCACAGUGACUCAAGUAGGGUCAAAUAUGCAGCUUGGCUCAGUGAAUCCUGACCCGAAUAAGAUUGCAGGCCCGUCAAGAGCUAUGAGGACUAGUCCUGUUUAU